rnacentral:rRNA from 1 species
GCGGAGGAAAAGAAAAUAACAAUGAUUUCCCUAGUAACGGCGAGUGAAGAGGAAAGAGCUCAAAGUUGGAACCUGUUUGGCUUAGCUAAACCGGAUUGUAAACUGUAGAAACAUUUUCCAGGCACGCUAGACAAAAAAGUCCUUUGGAACAGGGCAUCAUAGAGGGUGAGAAUCCCGUCUUAAUCUAAGUAGUUGUCUAUUUGUGAUAUGUUUUCAAAGAGUCAGGUUGUUUGGGAAUGCAGCCUAAAUUGGGUGGUAAAUCUCACCUAAAGCUAAAUAUUUGCGAGAGACCGAUAGCGAACAAGUACCGUGAGGGAAAGAUGAAAAGAACUUUGAAAAGAGAGUUAAACAGUAUGUGAAAUUGUUAAAAGGGAACCGUUUGGAGCCAGACUGGCUUGACUGUAAUCAUCCUACUUUUUUUGUGGGUGCACUUGCGGUCUUUGCCUGCCAACAACAGUUUGAUUUGGAGGAAAAAAAUAUUUGGAAUGUGGCCUUUUUCGGAAGGUGUUAUAGCCUUUUAUAUCAUACUCUGGAUUGGACUGAGGAUCGCAGUUAUUGUUUCCGCUUGUUUUUCUUUUGCUGAUAAAUGUUAAAAUUUCUGCUUAGGGUGGUGUUAAUGUUUAAAGGUAAAACUAGGAUGAGUAUUGUGAUAACUUAGGUGUUGGCU